UACGGAGGAUCCAAGCGUCAUCCGGAUUUAUUGGGUUUAAAGGGUGCGUAGGCGGCCUAUUAAGUCAGGGGUGAAAGACGGUGGCUCAACCAUCGCAGUGCCUUUGAUACUGAUGGGCUUGAUUGCAGCUGAGGUAGGCGGAAUGUGACAAGUAGCGGUGAAAUGCAUAGAUAUGUCACAGAACACCGAUUGCGAAGGCAGCUUACUAAAGUGUAAAUGACGCUGAGGCACGAAAGCGUGGGGAUCAAACAGG
rnacentral:rRNA from 1 species